UUCCUACGGGUGGCUGCAGUGGGGAAUUUUGGACAAUGGGCGAAAGCCUGAUCCAGCAAUGCCGCGUGUGUGAAGAAGGCCUUCGGGUUGUAAAGCACUUUUGUCCGGAAAGAAAUCCUUGGCUCUAAUACAGUCGGGGGAUGACGGUACCGGAAGAAUAAGCACCGGCUAACUACGUGCCAGCAGCCGCGGUAAUACGUAGGGUGCGAGCGUUAUUCGGAAUUACUGGGCGUAAAGCGUGCGCAGGCGGUUUGCUAAGUCCGAUGUGAAAUCCCCGGGCUCAACCUGGGAACUGCAUUGGAUACUGGCAGUCUAGAGUAUGGCAGAGGGGUGUGGAAUUCCACGUGUAGCGGUGAAAUGCGUAGAUAUGUGGAGGAACACCAGGGCGAAGGCAGCCCCUCUGGCCAAUACUGACGCUCAG
rnacentral:rRNA from 1 species